UGCGGGGUAGAGCAGUCUGGCAGCUCGCCGGGCCCAUAACCCGGAGGUCGCAGGUUCAAAUCCUGCCCCCGCUAUUCGGA
rnacentral:tRNA from 1 species